rnacentral:rRNA from 1 species
UACGGAGGGUGCAAGCGUUAUCCGGAUUUAUUGGGUUUAAAGGGAGCGUAGGCGGGAUUGUAAGUCAGUGGUGAAAGCCCGUAGCUCAACUACGGAACCGCCAUUGAUACUGCAGACCUAGAGUACACUUGAAGUGGGCGGAAUGUGUCAUGUAGCGGUGAAAUGCUUAGAUAUGACACAGAACACCAAUUGCGAAGGCAGCUCACUAAAUUGUAACUGACGCUGAGGCUCGAUAGCGUGGGGAUCAAACAGG